rnacentral:rRNA from 1 species
AUUGAACGCUGGCGGCAGGCCUAACACAUGCAAGUCGAGCGGAUGAAGGGAGCUUGCUCCUGGAUUCAGCGGCGGACGGGUGAGUAAUGCCUAGGAAUCUGCCUGGUAGUGGGGGAUAACGUCCUGAAACGGGCGCUAAUACCGCAUACGUCCUGAGGGAGAAAGUGGGGGAUCUUCGGACCUCACGCUAUCAGGUGAGCCUAGGUCGGAUUAGCUAGUUGGUGGGGUAAAGGCCUACCAAGGCGACGAUCCGUAACUGGUCUGAGAGGAUGAUCAGUCACACUGGAACUGAGACACGGUCAAGACUCCUACGGGAGGCAGCAGUGGGGAAUAUUGGACAAUGGGCGAAAGCCUGAUCCAGCCAUGCCGCGUGUGUGAAGAAGGUCUUCGGAUUGUAAAGCACUUUAAGUUGGGAGGAAGGGCAGUAAGUUAAUACCUUGCUGUUUUGACGUUACCAACAGAAGAAGCACCGGCUAACUUCGUG